rnacentral:rRNA from 1 species
CUGGGGUGCUCGAGUGGCGAACGGGUGAGUAACACGUGGGUGAUCUGCCCUGCACUUCGGGAUAAGCUUGGGAAACUGGGUCUAAUACCGGAUAGGACCAUCGUUUAGUGUCGGUGGUGGAAAGUUUUUUCGGUGUGGGAUGAGCUCGCGGCCUAUCAGCUUGUUGGUGGGGUAAUGGCCUACCAAGGCGUCGACGGGUAGCCGGCCUGAGAGGGUGUACGGCCACAUUGGGACUGAGAUAAGGCCCAG